rnacentral:rRNA from 1 species
UACGGAGGGAGCUAGCGUUAUUCGGAAUUACUGGGCGUAAAGCGCACGUAGGCGGCUUUGUAAGUUAGAGGUGAAAGCCUGAAGCUCAACUUCAGAAUUGCCUUUAAGACUGCAUCGCUUGAAUCCAGGAGAGGUGAGUGGAACUCCGAGUGUAGAGGUGAAAUUCGUAGAUAUUCGGAAGAACACCAGUGGCGAAGGCGGCUCACUGGCCCGGUACUGACGCUGAGGUGCGAAAGCGUGGGGAGCAAACAGG